CUCAGAUCUGGCUCUACGUUGUCCUCAUUGUACAUGCUGUGUGUAUUUGCCACGUACACAGCGCAUGCAAUGUGGACAUAAUGGAGCUCA
rnacentral:pre_miRNA from 3 species